GAUGGAGCAGUUCGCGCCGUGGUGCGCGCGCGCCAGGGCUUAGGCUCCAAGUAAAGGCCUUCUUCAUCCAUCCACCCACAACCAGGAUGGCAAAGUACCCGUGGAGACACUGAUGAAAACUAUGGACUUUCUCCAGAAAAAUACACCCAAAAUACAAUUUUGAGACCAGCAUCCAGGCUCUGAAGACCUGUGACAGCCAUCCAUGGAGUCAUGUUAAGAACCUCCACUCCAACUAACCCAAAGCUCACAGCCCUGGAGGAGAAGAAGCCUGUUUGGGGAAUUCUACCUUGGCUCCAUGUCUCUGAAGAGGCUUGUCCCAGGGAAUAUAAUGGGAUCCUCGCUCACACACAACCCAACAGCCGACCCACAAUGGCACACCUCCCAGUUAUUGCCUUAGUCCGGCAAACCCCUGGCUAAGCAUCCACAGCCGAGCUGAGGGCAGUGAGAAAAGUUCAAGUCGCCAGCUGAAGUGGUCUUUAACACCCCCCCCCCGGCCUUCUCAGCCUCACUGUUUAUCCAUAUGAAGCGCUCUCCUUCCCGGCCCACUUCCACCCCCACCUUUCUGAGAUCGGCUAUAAAAAUAAACUAUUUUUCCUUGUUAAUAAA
rnacentral:lncRNA from 1 species